rnacentral:misc_RNA from 1 species
GAUGAAGAACGCAGCGAAAUGCGAUAAGUAGUGUGAAUUGCAGAAUUCAGUGAAUCAUCGAAUCUUUGAACGCACAUUGCGCCCCUUGGUAUUCCAUGGGGCAUGCCUGUUCGAGCGUCAUUUGUACCCUCAAGCUUUGCUUGGUGUUGGGUGUUUGUCCCGCGUUGCGCGUGGACUCGCCUUAAAGCGAUUGGCAGCCGGCAUAUUGGCCUUGGAGCGCAGCACAUUUUGCGCUUCUAGUCAUGAAUGUUGGCGUCCAUUAAGCCUAUACAUUUGCUCUUGACCUCGGAUCAGGUGGGACUACCCGCUGAACUUAAGCAUAUCAAUAAGCGGAGGA